rnacentral:rRNA from 1 species
CGGGUGAGUAACGCGUAAGUAACCUACCUCUAAGUGGGGGAUAGCUUCGGGAAACUGAAGGUAAUACCGCAUGUGGUGGACCGACAUAUGUUGGUUCACUAAAGCCGUAAGGCGCUUGGUGAGGGGCUUGCGUCCGAUUAGCUAGUUGGUGGGGUAAUGGCCUACCAAGGCUUCGAUCGGUAGCUGGUCUGAGAGGAUGAUCAGCCACACUGGGACUGAGACACGGCCCAGACUCCUACGGGAGGCAGCAGCAAGGAAUCUUGGGCAAUGGGCGAAAGCCUGACCCAGCAACGCCGCGUGAGGGAUGAAGGCUUUCGGGUUGUAAACCUCUUUUCAUAGGGAAGAAUAAUGACGGUACCUGUGGAAUAAGCUUCGGCUAACUACGUGCCAGCAGCCGCGGUAAUACGUAGGAAGCAAGCGUUAUCCGGAUUUAUUGGGCGUAAAGUGAGCGUAGGUGGUCUUUCAAGUUGGAUGUGAAAUUUCCCGGCUUAACCGGGACGAGUCAUUCAAUACUGUUGGACUAGAGUACAGCAGGAGAAAACGGAAUUCCCGGUGUAGUGGUAAAAUGCGUAGAUAUCGGGAGGAACACCAGAGGCGAAGGCGGUUUUCUAGGUUGUCACUGACACUGAGGCUCGAAAGCGU